AUACGGAGGAUCCGAGCGUUAUCCGGAUUUAUUGGGUUUAAAGGGAGCGUAGGUGGAUUGUUAAGUCAGUUGUGAAAGUUUGCGGCUCAACCGUAAAAUUGCAGUUGAAACUGGCAGUCUUGAGUACAGUAGAGGUGGGCGGAAUUCGUGGUGUAGCGGUGAAAUGCUUAGAUAUCACGUAGAACUCCGAUUGCGAAGGCAGCUCACUAGACUGUUACUGACACUGAUGCUCGAAAGUGCGGGUAUCAAACAGGAUUAGAUACCCUGGUAGUCCGCACAGUAAACGAUGAAUACUCGCUGUUUGCGAUACACUGUAAGCGGCCAAGCGAAAGCGUUAAGUAUUCCACCUGGGGAGUACGCCGGCAACGGUGAAACUCAAAUGAAUUGACGGGG
rnacentral:rRNA from 1 species